GACGAACGCUGGCGGCGUGCCUAAUACAUGCAAGUCGAACGCAGUGGGGACGGGUGAGUAACACGUGGGUAACCUCCCAUCAGAGGGGAUAACACUUGGAAACAGGUGCUAAACCGAUACUGAUGGAUGGACCCGCGGUGCAGUAGCUAGUUGGUGAGGUAACGGCUCACCAAGGCUACGAUGCAUAGCCGACCUGAGAGAGUGAUCGGCCACACUGGGACUGAGACACGGCCCAGACUCCUACGGGAGGCAGAAGUAGGGAAUAUGCGGCAAAAGACGAAAGUCUGACCGAGCAAAGCCGCGUGUGUGAAGAAGGUUUUCGGAUCGUAAAACUCUGUUGGUAGAGAGGCGAUAUCUAACCAGAAAGCCACGGCUAACUACGUGCCAGCAGCGGCGGUAAUAC
rnacentral:rRNA from 1 species